UACGUAGGGGGCAAGCGUUGUCCGGAUUCAUUGGGCGUAAAGAGCGUGUAGGCGGCCAGGUAGGUCGGUUGUGAAAACUGGAGGCUCAACCUUCAAAGGUCGACCGAAACCAUCUGGCUAGAGUCCGGGAGAGGAGAGUGGAAUUCCUGGUGUAGCGGUGAAAUGCGCAGAUAUCAGGAAGAACACCCGUGGCGAAAGCGGCUCUCUGGAACGGUACUGACGCUGAGACGCGAAAGCGUGGGGAGCGAACAGG
rnacentral:rRNA from 1 species